rnacentral:ncRNA from 1 species
UAAGCCCUGCAUGUUGCGAAGUCUCUGGUUCCACCUGGGAUACGAAAUCCAAAGAAAUUUCAUAGCAACUGCGGGGCUUC